rnacentral:tRNA from 1 species
GGGCCCGUAGCUCAGCCAGGAUAGAGCGCCGGCCUUCGGAGCCGGAGGUCCGGGGUUCAAAUCCCCGCGGGCCCGCCA